GUAGGGAAUAUUAGAAAUGGACGAAAGUCUGAUCUAGCAACACCGCGUGUGCGAAGAAGGCCUUCGGGUCGUAAAGCACUUUUUGGAAGGAAUAGGAAGGAAUGUACUUCCAGAAUAAGUCUCGGCUAACUACGUGCCAGCAGCCGCGGUAACACGGAGGAGGCCAACGUUAUCCGGAUUUACUGGGCGUAAAGCGCGUGUAGGUGGUACUGUAAGUAGGGCGUGAAAGCGCCUGGCUCAACUGGGAGAGGCCGUUCUAAACUACAGAACUAGAGGAGGGUAGAGGGAGGUGGAAUUCCAGGUGUAGCGGUGGAAUGCGCAGAUAUCUGGAGGAACACCGGUGGCGAAGGCGGCCUCCUGGACCAUUCCUGACACUCAGACGCGAAAGCUAGGGUAGCAAACGGGAUUAGAAACCCUUGUAGUCC
rnacentral:rRNA from 1 species